GAGGAAAGUCCGGGCUCCACAGGGCAGGGUGCCAGAUAACGUCUGGGAGGCGAAAGCCUACGACUAGUGCAACAGAGAGCAAACCGCCGAUGGCUCAUUUUUGCAAAAAAGUGAGAUCAGGUAAGGGUGAAAGGGUGCGGUAAGAGCGCACCGCGCGGCUGGUAACAGUCCGUGGCACGGUAAACUCCACCCGGAGCAAGACCAAAUAGGGGUUCACAGGGUACGGCCCGUAUCGAACCCGGGUAGGUUGCUUGAGCCAGUGCGCAAGUGCUGGCCUAGAUGAAUGGCUGUCCAAGACAGAACCCGGCUUA
rnacentral:RNase_P_RNA from 1 species